UACGUAGGGUGCGAGCGUUGUCCGGAUUUAUUGGGCGUAAAGAGCUUGUAGGCGGCUCGUCACGUCGGGUGUGAAAACUUGCGGCUUAACCGCAAGCCUGCACCCGAUACGGGCGGGCUAGAGUUCGGCAGGGGAGACUGGAAUUCCUGGUGUAGCGGUGGAAUGCGUAGAGAUGCGGAGGAACACCGAUGGCGAAGGCAGCCCCCUGGGCUAACACUGACGCUCAGGCACGAAAGCGUGGGGAGCAAACAGG
rnacentral:rRNA from 1 species